AGGGAAUCUUCCACAAUGGACGCAAGUCUGAUGGAGCAACGCCGCGUGAGUGAAGAAGGUUUUCGGAUCGUAAAGCUCUGUUGUUGGUGAAGAAGGAUAGAGGUAGUAACUGGCCUUUAUUUGACGGUAAUCAACCAGAAAGUCACGGCUAACUACGUGCCAGCAGCCGCGGUAAUACGUAGGGAGCGAGCGUUGUCCGGAUUUACUGGGUGUAAAGGGUGCGUAGGCGGCUUGGCAAGUCAGUUGUGAAAACUAUGGGCUCAACCCAUAGCCUGCAAUUGAAACUGUUGAGCUUGAGUGAAGUAGAGGUAGGUGGAAUUCCCGGUGUAGCGGUGAAAUGCGUAGAGAUCGGGAGGAACACCAGUGGCGAAGGCGGCUUUCUGGACGACAACUGACGCUGAGGCGCGAAAGCCAGGGGAGCAAACG
rnacentral:rRNA from 1 species